AGAGUUUGAUCCUGGCUCAGGAUGAACGCUGGCGGCGUGCCUAAUACAUGCAAGUCGAACGCACAGCGAAAGGUGCUUGCACCUUUCAAGUGAGAGGCGAACGGGUGAGUAACACGUGGAUAACCUACCUCAAGGUUGGGGAUAACAUUUGGAAACAGAUGCUAAUACCGAAUAAAACUUCGUAUCGCAUGAUACAAGGUUAAAAGGCGCUACGGCGUCACCUAGAGAUGGAUCCGCGGUGCAUUAGUUAGUUGGUGGGGUAAAGGCCUACCAAGACAAUGAUGCAUAGCCGAGUUGAGAGACUGAUCGGCCACAUUGGGACUGAGACACGGCCCAAACUCCUACGGGAGGCUGCAGUAGGGAAUCUUCCACAAUGGGCGAAAGCCUGAUGGAGCAACGCCGCGUGUGUGAUGAAGGCUUUCGGGUCGUAAAGCACUGUUGUAUGGGAAGAACAGCUAGAGUAGGGAAUGACUUUAGUUUGACGGUACCAUACCAGAAAGGGACGGCUAAAUACGUGCCAGCAGCCGCGGUAAUACGUAUGUCCCGAGCGUUAUCCGGAUUUAUUGGGCGUAAAGCGAGCGCAGACGGUUGAUUAAGUCUGAUGUUGAAAAGCCCGGAGCUCAACUCCGGAAAGGCAUUGGAAACUGGUCAACUUGAGUGCAGUAAAGGUAAGUGGAACUCCAUGUGUAGCGGUGGAAUGCGUAAAUAUAGGAAGACACCCAGCGGCGAAGGCGGCAUAGUGGACUGAAAAUGACGUGAGGCCUAGAAAGUGUGGGUAGCAAACAGGAUUUAGAUACCUAGGUAGUCCACACCAUAAACGAUGAACACUAGGUGUUUAGGAGGUUUCCGCCUUUAAGUGCCGAAGCUAACGCAUUAAGUGUUCCGCCUGGGGAGUACGACCGCAAGGUUGAAACUCAAAGGAAUUGACGGGGACCCGCACAAGCGGUGGAGCAUGUGGUUUAAUUCGAAGCAACGCAAAGAACCUUACCAGGUCUUGACAUCCUUUGAAGCUUUUAGAGAUAGAAGUGUUCUCUUCGGAGACAAAGUGACAGGUGGUGCAUGGUCGUCGUCAGCUCGUGUCGUGAGAUGUUGGGUUAAGUCCCGCAACGAGCGCAACCCUUAUUGUUAGUUGCCAGCAUUCAGAUGGGCACUCUAGCGAGACUGCCGGUGACAAACCGGAGGAAGGCGGGGACGACGUCAGAUCAUCAUGCCCCUUAUGACCUGGGCUACACACGUGCUACAAUGGCGUAUACAACGAGUUGCCAACCUGUGAAGGUGAGCUAAUCUCUUAAAGUACGUCUCAGUUCGGACUGCAGUCUGCAACUCGACUGCACGAAGUCGGAAUCGCUAGUAAUCGCGGAUCAGCACGCCGCGGUGAAUACGUUCCCGGGUCUUGCACUCACCGCCCGUCA
rnacentral:rRNA from 1 species